UACGGAGGGAGCUAGCGUUGUUCGGAAUUACUGGGCGUAAAGCGCACGUAGGCGGCUUUGUAAGUUAGAGGUGAAAGCCCGGAGCUCAACUCCGGAACUGCCUUUAAGACUGCAUCGCUUGAAUCCAGGAGAGGUGAGUGGAAUUCCGAGUGUAGAGGUGAAAUUCGUAGAUAUUCGGAAGAACACCAGUGGCGAAGGGCGGC
rnacentral:rRNA from 1 species